CAUCUCUUUUACUUUGUGCAAGUGUUUUUUAGCAAAUAAUUUUGCCGCUUUUUUAGUUUAACAAAUAAAUUUAAGAAAAAGUGUUUUUAACAAAUAAAUAUUGUUUAGUUUUGUUAAAGAUUAAGUAAAAUAUUGUGUCAAAUGUUUUAUUCUUCAGAAAGUGUUAAAAGAUAGUGGAUAAGACUUAUCGUAGGUGAACAAACAACUGGUGUCUCCAUGGAAAGGUUGACCGGGCAAUUGGAAAUUCCAACCCCCCUGGAUCCGCGCCCGCUCUAAACAAAAUCAUUUCAAGAAAUCUCAACCAUCGAUCACCUGAAUUUUUUUGAAGGAUUUUACUAAGGAAAUUAAAGAUCAAUCUCCCCCCAAUUACUUUGAAAUGCAGAAUAAUUUGCUAAAAACCUUAGAAUCGGACAUUUAUGAUAAAUCAAAUCUCUUAAGAAAUUCCUUUGGUGGCCUGUAAUCCAUUAAAUUCAAUCAUUCGUAAAGACUUCUGAAGAAUUUUAAACAAAGGAUUAUUAUAAGCAGAUACGAAAGAAGCCACAGAACAAGCUGUUAACUUUAAAAUAUGCUCCAUAACUUUGUUUUAAAUCAAUUUGUAUUUAAUAAAAUCAUAAUAAACGUA